rnacentral:rRNA from 1 species
UACGUAGGGGGCGAGCGUUAUCCGGAUUCACUGGGUGUAAAGGGAGCGUAGACGGCCAAGCAAGCCAGGGGUGAAAGCCCGGGGCCCAACCCCGGGACUGCCCUUGGAACUGCAUGGCUGGAGUGCGGGAGGGGCAGGCGGAAUUCCUGGUGUAGCGGUGAAAUGCGUAGAUAUCAGGAGGAACACCGGCGGCGAAGGCGGCCUGCUGGAUCGCGACUGACGUUGAGGCUCGAAAGCGUGGGGAGUGAACAGG